GAUGAACGCUGGCGGCGUGCCUAAUACAUGCAAGUCGAGCGAACAGACGAGGAGCUUGUUCCUCUGACGUUAGCGGCGGAUGGGUGAGUAACACGUGGAUAACUUACCUAUAAGACAGGGAUAACUUCGGGAAACCGGAGAUCAUACAGGAUAAUAUAUUGACCCGCAAGGUUCAAUAGUGAAAGACGGUUUUGCUGUCAACUAUAGAUGGAUCAGCGCCGCAUUAGCUAGUUGGGAAGGUAACGGAUUACAAAGGCCACUAAGCUUACCCGCACUAAACGGGACAACCGCUACCCGGGAUCUGAGACUCGGUCCAGACUCCUGCGGUAGGCAGCGGUAGAGAAUCCUCCGCGAGGGGCGAGUGCCUGACGGUGCAACACCGCGUGAGUGAUGAAGGACCGCCGAUCGUAAAACGCUGUUAUUAGGGAAUAACUAAUGUGUAAGUAGCAAUGCACGUCUUGACGGUACCUAAUCAGAAAGCCACGGCUAACUACGUG
rnacentral:rRNA from 1 species